rnacentral:rRNA from 1 species
UGGGGAAUCUUAGACAAUGGGCGCAAGCCUGAUCUAGCCAUGCCGCGUGAUCGAUGACGGCCUUAGGGUUGUAAAGAUCUUUCGACGGGGACGAUAAUGACGGUACCCGUAGAAGAAGCUCCGGCUAACUUCGUGCCAGCAGCCGCGGUAAUACGAAGGGAGCUAGCGUUGUUCGGAAUUACUGGGCGUAAAGCGCGCGUAGGCGGACUGGAAAGUUGGGGGUGAAAUCCCGGGGCUCAACCCCGGAACUGCCUUCAAAACUCCUGGUCUUGAGAUCGAGAGAGGUGAGUGGAAUUCCGAGUGUAGAGGUGAAAUUCGUAGAUAUUCGGAGGAACACCAGUGGCGAAGGCGGCUCACUGGCUCGAUACUGACGCUGAGGUGCGAAAGCGUGGGGAGCAAACAGGAUUAGAUACCCCCGUAGUCC